rnacentral:rRNA from 1 species
AGUGAACGCUGGCGGUAGGCCUAACACAUGCAAGUCGAACGGCAGCACAGUAAGAGCUUGCUCUUACGGGUGGCGAGUGGCGGACGGGUGAGGAAUACAUCGGAAUCUACUUUUUCGUGGGGGAUAACGUAGGGAAACUUACGCUAAUACCGCAUACGACCUACGGGUGAAAGCAGGGGAACUUCGGACCUUGCGCGAUUGAAUGAGCCGAUGUCGGAUUAGCUAGUUGGCGGGGUAAAGGCCCACCAAUGCGACGAUCCGUAGCUGGUCUGAGAGGAUGAUCAGCCACACUGGAACUGAGACACGGUCCAGACUCCUACGGGAGGCAGCAGUGGGGAAUAUUGGACAAUGGGCGCAAGCCUGAUCCAGCCAUACCGCGUGGGUGAAGAAGGCCUUCGGGUUGUAAAGCCCUUUUGUUGGGAAAGAAAAGCAGCAGGUUAAUACCCCGCUGUUCUGACGGUACCCAAAGAAUAAGCACCGGCUAACUUCGUG